rnacentral:rRNA from 1 species
GAUGAACGCUGGCGGCGUGCCUAAUACAUGCAAGUCGAACGAACGGAAGAAAAGCUUGCUUUUCGGAAGUUAGUGGCGAACGGGUGAGUAAUACAUAAGCAACCUGCCCAUCUGACUGGGAUAACUAUUGGAAACGAUAGCUAAUACCGGAUAGGUAGAGAUAAGGCAUCUUAACUCUAUUAAAGUUUAGAUACACAGAUGGAUGGGCUUAUGGCGUAUUAGCUAGUUGGUGAGGUAACGGCUCGCCAAGGCGAUGAUACGUAGCCGACCUGAGAGGGUGAACGGCCACAUUGGGACUGAGACACGGCCCAAACUCCUACGGGAGGCAGCAGUAGGGAAUUUUCGGCAAUGGGCGCAAGCCUGACCGAGCAACGCCGCGUGAGUGAAGACGGCCUUCGGGUUGUAAAGCUCUGUUGUAAAGGAAGAAGAGCUAGGAUAGAAUCCUAGUGUGACGGUACUUUACCAGAAAGCCACGGCUAACUACGUGCCAGCCGCCGC